UCGUCCCAAGUAAUAAAACAAAGGAAAUCAAAUAGAAAAAAAAAAAGCAAAGCAAAAUCUAUCAACAAAAAAUAUUAAAAACAUUAGCAUUCUUGAAAAAAAUGGAGGCAAAUAAGCUUGUAUCAGUAUUUUUAAUGUGCAUGAUUGUAUUAUCAGUUGUUCACGUUUCCAAGGCUGUAACUUUCGAUAGCUGCAACGAAAAUUGUCAAAAGGAUUGCACUUCCAAUGGCCAUGGCUCCACUUAUUGUGCAUUGAGAUGUGAAACCGAUUGCGGCUAUAAGGCGCUGAAAGGUGAAUUUGAGAGCCUCACGUCUUGAGCUGGACCAAGAAUGUAGGGUAUCACCCUAAAAGGAGAUAGGGGACAAAGAAGAAUAAAAUCGUGGAAUUUAUUUUUUAAUUAAAUCAUUCAUCAAUUUCAUUUUCCACUACCAUUGUAUAAUGCUCAGAAUUAAAUAAAAACAAAUUGAUUUUUGUAUAUUUAAA